rnacentral:rRNA from 1 species
UGCCGACCAGCUAGCCCUCAUAACUAACACCAACAAACAACUAUUUAUACCCCCUAAUGUACCAAUGUAUAUAAGAAUAAAUCAUUUUUCCCCCUAAGUAUGGGCGACAGAAAAGGAGCAACGGAGCGACAGAGAGAGUACCGCAAGGGAAAGCUGAAAGAGAAGUGAAAUAAUCCAGUGAAGCCCCGUAAAGCAAAGAUUAAACCUUGUACCUUUUGCAUCAUGAUUUAGCCAGUGUCUACCGAGCAAAAAGCAUUUUAGUUUGUUUACCCGAAACUUCGUGAGCUACUCCAAGACAGCCUAAUUAAUAGGGCGAACCCGUCUCUGUUGCAAAAGAGUGGGAAGAGCUUCGAGUAGAGGUGAUAAACCUACCGAACCUAGUUAUAGCUGGUUGCCUAGGAAACGAAUAGGAGUUCAGCCUCCUGGCUUCUUCCUUCACCCAAGUAAGACUUUUUAAGAUGUCAAAGAAACCACGAGAGUUAUUCAAAGGGGGUACAGCUCCUUUGAUAUAAGAUACAACUUUCUAAGGCGGGUAAAGAUCAUA